rnacentral:rRNA from 1 species
GACGAACGCUGGCGGCGUGCUUAACACAUGCAAGUCGAACGGAAAGGCCCUGCUUUUGUGGGGUGCUCGAGUGGCGAACGGGUGAGUAACACGUGAGUAACCUGCCCUUGACUUUGGGAUAACUUCAGGAAACUGGGGCUAAUACCGGAUAGGAGCUCCUGCUGCAUGGUGGGGGUUGGAAAGUUUCGGCGGUUGGGGAUGGCCUCGCGGCUUAUCAGCUUGUUGGUGGGGGAGUGGCUUACCAAGGCUUUGACGGGUAGCCGGCCUGAGAGGGUGACGGGCCAAAUUGGGACUGAGAUACGGCCCAGACGCCUACGGGAGGCAGCAGUGGGGAAUAUUGCACAAGGGGCGGAAGCCUGAUGCAGCAACGCCGCGUGCGGGAGGACGGCCUGCGGUUGGUAAACCGCUUUCGCCUGGGACGAAGCGUGAGUGACGGUAAUGGGUAAAGAAGCACCGGCUAACUACGUG